AGUGUACGCUGGCGGUAGGCCUAACACAUGCAAGUCGAACGGCAGCACAGAGGAGCUUGCUCCUUGGGUGGCGAGUGGCGGACGGGUGAGGAAUACAUCGGAAUCUACUCUGUCGUGGGGGAUAACGUAGGGAAACUUACGCUAAUACCGCAUACGACCUACGGGUGAAAGCAGGGGAUCUUCGGACCUUGCGCGAUUGAAUGAGCCGAUGUCGGAUUAGCUAGUUGGCGGGGUAAAGGCCCACCAAGGGGACGAUCCGUAGCUGGUCUGAGAGGGUGAUCAGCCCCACUGGAACUGGGAAACGGUCCCGACUCCUACGGGAGGCAGCAGUGGGGAAUAUUGGACAAUGGGCGCAAGCCUGAUCCAGCCAUACCGCGUGGGUGAAGAAGGCCUUCGGGUUGUAAAGCCCUUUUGUUGGGAAAGAAAUCCAUCUGGUUAGUACCCGGGUGGGAUGACGGUACCCAAAGAAUAAGCACCGGCUAACUUCGUGCCAGCCGCCGCCGUAA
rnacentral:rRNA from 1 species